rnacentral:rRNA from 1 species
CCUACCGAUUGAAUAAAGAGGUGAAAUUCUAGGAUUUUCUCCGUAAGGGGAAGAAAAUGGAUUUAAAUCUCCUUAUUUAGAGGAAGGAGAAGUCGUAACAAGGUU